rnacentral:lncRNA from 1 species
CUCUAGGAAUCUUGUUAAGCCUGAUUUAACAACAUCCCGCGUUUGUUUUUAAACUAUAAACAUUUAGAAAUAGAACGCACCGAACACUAUUAUAUACUCACCGCCUUUGGCUUUGCACAUAUUAAAUGACAUAACAAACAAAUAAACUAAAAGUUCAUUUGCUUCUUGUAUCAGCAUAAAGGCAUUAAUCAUUACUGUCGAUUUGGUCGGGAAUAGAUCAGUGAUUCAGUGGGUAUUAUAAUUGCCGAUAUAUUCUUGAAAUCAUUUUGUUUCAAU